AACAGAACUAUGCUAACUAGGAAGGACUUGUUUAGGACUUGUUUAAAGAUACUUCGAGAAAAGCUGCUCAUGCAUGGAAGCGGAUAAUUGACCUUCGUCUCCCGGAGGAAGAAGACAAUAUGUUAAGGUCUUAUGUGGAUCAGCAUACUUUCACAGAUCUGCACUGGGGAAUGUUUAUUCCUGCUAUCAAAGGUCACGGAACACAUGAG